GAUGAAGAACAUAGCGAAAUGCGAUAAGUAGUGUGAAUUGCAGAAUUCAGUGAAUCAUCGAAUCUUUGAACGCACAUUGCGCCCUUUGGUAUUCCAAAGGGCAUGCCUGUUCGAGCGUCAUUUGUACCCUCAAGCUUUGCUUGGUGUUGGGCGUCUUGUCUCUAGCUUUGCUGGAGACUCGCCUUAAAGUAAUUGGCAGCCGGCCUACUGGUUUCGGAGCGCAGCACAAGUCGCACUCUCUAUCAGCAAAGGUCUAGCAUCCACUAAGCCUUUUUUUCAACUUUUGACCUCGGAUCAGGUAGGGAUACCCGCUGAACUUAAGCAUAUCAAUAAGCGGAGGA
rnacentral:misc_RNA from 1 species